AGUGAACGCUGGCGGUAGGCCUAACACAUGCAAGUCGAACGGCAGCACAGUAAGAGCUUGCUCUUACGGGUGGCGAGUGGCGGACGGGUGAGGAAUACAUCGGAAUCUACUUUUUCGUGGGGGAUAACGUAGGGAAACUUACGCUAAUACCGCAUACGACCUACGGGUGAAAGCAGGGGAUCUUCGGACCUUGCGCGAUUGAAUGAGCCGAUGUCGGAUUAGCUAGUUGGCGGGGUAAAGGCCCACCAAGGCGACGAUCCGUAGCUGGUCUGAGAGGAUGAUCAGCCACACUGGAACUGAGACACGGUCCAGACUCCUACGGGAGGCAGCAGUGGGGAAUAUUGGACAAUGGGCGCAAGCCUGAUCCAGCCAUACCGCGUGGGUGAAGAAGGCCUUCGGGUUGUAAAGCCCUUCUGUUGGGAAAGAAAAGCAGCGGGUUAAUACCCCGCUGUUCUGACGGUACCCAAAGAAUAAGCACCGGCUAACUUCGUG
rnacentral:rRNA from 1 species